rnacentral:rRNA from 1 species
CGAAGGGGCUAGCGUUGCUCGGAAUUACUGGGCGUAAAGGGCGCGUAGGCGGACAGUUUAGUCAGAGGUGAAAGCCCAGGGCUCAACCUUGGAAUUGCCUUUGAUACUGGCUGUCUUGAGUACGGGAGAGGUGAGUGGAACUCCGAGUGUAGAGGUGAAAUUCGUAGAUAUUCGGAAGAACACCAGUGGCGAAGGCGACUCACUGGCCCGUUACUGACGCUGAGGCGCGAAAAGCGUGGGGAGCAAAACAGGAUU